rnacentral:rRNA from 1 species
UAGGGAAUCUUCGCAAUGGACGAAAGUCUGACCGAGCAACGCCGCGUGAGUCAAGAAGGUUUUCGGAUCGUAAAACUCUGUUGUUAGAGAAGAACAAGGGUGAGAGUAACUGUUCACCCCUUGACGGUAUCUAACCAGAAAGCCACGGCUAACUACGUGCUAG